GUCAGCUCGUGCCGUGAGGUGUCGGGUAAGUCCCGCAACGAGCGCAACCCCAUUUGCCAGUUGCUACCAGGUAAUGCUGGGGCACUCUGGUGAGACUGCCCCGGUUAACGGGGAGGAAGGUGGGGACGACGUCAAGUCAUCAUGGCCCUUACGCCUAGGGCUACACACGACUACAAUGGCGCAUACAAAGGGCAGCGAUACCGCGAGGUGGAGCCAAUCCCAAAAAGUGCGUCCCAGUCCGGAUUGCAGUCUGCAACUCGACUGCAUGAAGUUGGAAUCGCUAGUAAUUCGAGAUCAGCAUGCUCGGGUGAAUGCGUUCCCGGGGCUU
rnacentral:rRNA from 1 species